UGCUGACUAGCUGAAUAGUUGAGACAUC
rnacentral:piRNA from 1 species